CCUACGGGUGGCAGCAGUGAGGAAUAUUGGACAAUGGGCGUAAGCCUGAACCAGCCAAGUCGCGUGAGGGAUGAAGGUCCUAUGGAUCGUAAAUAUCUUUUAUAAGGGAAUAAAGAGUGGGACGAGUCCCGUUAUGUAUUUACCUUAUGAACAAGGAUCGGCUAACUCCGUGCCAGCAGCCGCGGUAAUACGGAGGGUCCGAGCGUUAUCCGGAUUUAUUGGGUUUAAAGGGUACGUAGGCGGCCUGUUAAGUCAGCGGUGAAAGUCUGUGGCUCAACCAUAGAAUUGCCGUUGAAACUGGGAGGCUUGAGUAUGGUUGAGGCAGGCAGAAUGCGUGGUGUAGCGGUGAAAUGCUUAGAGAUCACGCAGAACCCCGAUUGCGAAGGCAGCCUGCCAAGCCAUGACUGACGCUGAUGCACGAAAGCGUGGGGAUCAAACAGGAUUAGAUACCCCAGUAGUC
rnacentral:rRNA from 1 species